UACGUAGGGGGCAAGCGUUGUCCGGAAUCAUUGGGCGUAAAGCGCGCGUAGGCGGCCCGGUAAGUCCGCUCUGAAAGUCAAGGGCUCAACCCUUGAAUGCGGGUGGAUACUGCCGGGCUAGAGUCCGGAAGAGGCGAGUGGAAUUCCUGGUGUAGCGGUGGAAUGCGCAGAUAUCAGGAGGAACACCAAUUGCGAAGGCAGCUCGCUGGGACGUUACUGACGCUGAGACGCGAAAGCGUGGGGAGCAAACAGG
rnacentral:rRNA from 1 species